GUGUCAGUAGCACAAAGGCUAGUGCACAGGCCCGGAUAGUUUGAGACGCGGGUUCGAUUCCCGCCUGGGAUG
rnacentral:tRNA from 1 species